CCCGCCCGCCCCUCGCGCAGCGCCAUUGGCUCAGGUGCCGCGAGGCGGGGAGGGGCAGGGGGCGGGCCGGGGAUGAUUCACCUUGAAUGUGGCUCCGGUUGGUGCGCGGCGCAGGGCACGCCCGUCCGGGACUGCGGAGACGCCGGGAGCCCCGCCUGCUUGCCCAACCCGGCCGGGUCUGGCCCCAAGGGGUCCCGUCGCCCGCCUUCUAUCCCCGCCUCCUGCCCUCGGGCUAGGGUGCCGCUAGCCGAGGUGCGCCCGGACGCCCUGCCACCCCAGCGCCCUCUGAGCCCGGAGCUAGCCGAGGGCCUGCUGAAGCCGUAGAUGUCGCAGCCAGAUGGAUCGGGAAGCAAGAUUCCCACCCCAGGUGGAUAACUGGACGAGUCUCAGGGCCUCGGGGCCCCUCUCCCCAUGCAGCCAGGGAUGGGCACGGUGAGCGAGAACCCGGACAGCGGAGAUAAUGAGCACGUCACAGAGCCCAACGGGCCAAAAGGGGGUGAUAGCUCCACAUUAACCCCUCCCCGUCCUACUAGCAUUCCCCCGCCCAUCUAGGUCGCCUCGAGCCUCCCUGGCUGUCUCUGCACCCGCGCCCUACCUGGUCCUCAGACCCAUGCGAUGCUGGGCAACCCGGGCCGGGUGUGCCCAGGACCGCAAAGCGGGAAGCGCAGGCCUUGCGGACUGCGAGUGGCCCCCGCGGCCUGCUGCUCCCCUUUAUAACGCGCGCCCCGCCCCCCGCGCUCCGGGCGCCCCGCCCUGGCCCAUUCACCUGCUGUCGAGAACCAGACACCGCGCAGCAGAAAGCUAGCCGCUGGGCCGCGAGGUCCGGCCGUCGGAGCGGGCGGGGCUGGGGCGCCGCCGAGACAGAUCCGAUUUCCACCUUUUCUUAAAUGCGCUGCUGAAAGUCGAGAAGGCCCCGGCCGGGGAGCUCGCGUCGCUUCCUCCCCCCUCAGCUCCCCUCGCACCCUGAGUCCCCCAGCCCCACUCCGGGAGGGGCCGCGAAACUGCACCCGCAAGGGCCUCAUACAUAUUUUAAGGAGCAGGCCAGGCAGAUCCAAUGUCCGUCUGGCAAUUGCCCCAUUCCCUCUCGCUGGAGAGAUCCCUUCCGCCUCGCCACAGGCGUCCCACGCUGCCCGGAGUCGUGCGCCCCGGGACGGGUAGUUUUGGGUUCCUCGACGCUUGGCCAGGUUUAGGAAAGACCCGCUGUCUUCCUUGCUGCCCCCACCUAGGAGACUCGGCGCCUUGCGCUCCGUCCUUUUUAAUGGUGUCGCGGCUUGUCCCUCUGGCUUGCUCCCUCCUAGUCCCUACCCCACACGGCUCCCUUCGCCAGCUCCAUGACAAUCCCACUCGUGCUGAAGACCUUGGGCAAAGAAGUAACCAUCGGUCUUCCCCUCCCUUCCCAUUCCUCCGGCGGCAGGACUAGGGGGAAAGGUGCCCGGGAUACAAGCCCCUCACGCAGACCCACUGAUGCGGCCGUGGUUCUGCCAUUGGCCCCUCUCCGAAUGGUGAGGUUCUCCUGCUAACCCUGGCCCCAUGGCAUAACUAGUAUAACCCCAGUGAGAGGAACCCAGAGUUCCAGUCCUCCCCUGCUCCAGUCCCUCUGUGAUCUCGAUCUCGAGGGAUUCACUUCACCUCUCUAAGCCUCAGUUUCCCAUUUGCAAAAUGGGCAGAAUGACUCGCACCUCUGGGGAUGAAGAAAAUGCACAUGUGAGCACGUGGGUACUUGGCGACCCGGAGAUCUCUGCAAACUGCAGGCCCAGCGAGAUGGCCUCAGCACGCCCUGCACCCUCGUCCGCGCGACUGCCGCCGGGUGCCCGCCCCAGCCGCUGUGUCCCUGGUGCUUCCUCCGCCAGGGCCACGUGCCGGGGAAGCCAAAGCGGGAGUCUUUCGAUCUUGGCCCAGCCCUUAGCCCUCGGUCCUUUGCUCUAGCAUCUAGAUUCUCGUGGGUCAACAAAGUCACUGGAAACCCAACGAACUUCCCGACAUUUUUCGAAAACCGUAUGCGUGUGCUUCUGUGCGUUUUUCCUCUGAUCGAGGUAGGGCCCUGUAGGGUUCUGUUUGGACGGGAGGCUGGAGUGGUUCCUUCCCGGCUGCGGGGUCGGAGGAUGCAGAGAUUCGAAAGAAGGAGAAACACAGAGACUGUCAAAUGAAAGGAGAUUCUGUCUUCGGAAUCGACCCAGCUCUUUAAAAGAAUGAGGAAAACAUGGGGUCUUUAUAUAUCCUGGAAAGUCGCCUAGGCGUUCAGUGAAAAACGCAAAAGGCACGUGGAUUCCUAUUUGUGUAAAAAUAUAAAUGGGGCAGGGGGUUAAACAUCAGGUUUUUUCUGCACGAAAGGUCUCAGCGCAGAGGGUUGGAGAUUUUUCUUUUCAUUGUAUGUCUUUCGGGACUGUUCGAAGCCAAUGUGUGUUGCUUACCAUAUUCUUGCAUUGAAUUUUCAAUUAAAAAAAGAAACUGCAGGAAUUGUUUUUUGUUUGUUUGUUUGUUUUGAGACGGAGUCUCGCUCUGUAGCCCAGACUGGAGUGCAGUGGCGCUAUUUAGGCUCACUGCAACCUCCGCCUCCUGGGCUCAAGCGAUUCUCCUGCCUCAGUCUCCCGAGUAGCUGGGAUUACAGGCGCGUGCCACCACGCCCGGCUAAUUUUUUUUCCUUUUUUCUUUUUUUUUUUUUUUUUAGUAGAGGCGG
rnacentral:lncRNA from 1 species